GACAGCAGUCGCCGCGGUAAUACGGAGGGUGCAAGCGUUAAUCGGAAUUACUGGGCGUAAAGCGCACGCAGGCGGUCUGUCAAGUCAGAUGUGAAAUCCCCGGGCUUAACCUGGGAACUGCAUUUGAAACUGGCAGGCUAGAGUCUUGUAGAGGGGGGUAGAAUUCCAGGUGUAGCGGUGAAAUGCGUAGAGAUCUGGAGGAAUACCGGUGGCGAAGGCGGCCCCCUGGACAAAGACUGACGCUCAGGUGCGAAAGCGUGGGGAGCAAACAGGAUUAGAUACCCGAGUAGUCCCUGUCUCUUAUAC
rnacentral:rRNA from 1 species